CAUGACGAAUAAGACAUCCGUCUGGCAGCAGGAGCGGGAGCAAGACCAUCCCAAUUGCAUCUUCCUACCGCAAAACCUCAAAUUCCGAUCACUCACGCCUUCAAACUCGGUGCCGUUAAAUCAGCGCCUGUCAAUUUCAGGUUCAAGAAGAGCGUUUUGAGAUUGCAAAUAAGGGAAAGAUGGCAUGCUGUGUCUGCAUCAAAAAACUCAAACCCUCCUCUGUCUGACUAUGGAGAUUCGAUCAAAGAUAAAUCGGGCACGGUUGAAAAGGAUGAUGCUGCCCAAGGCCCUUCUCUGCCAACCAUUUUGGCUGGACUUCUAAGGCUUAUCGUUCCUUUUCUCGUGUUUGUUUUUGCAUCAGUUCUAUCUUGGUGUAUUGGUUUAUUGGGCACUAGGCAAUUUUUAGAUUGGGCGUUGUCCUCGUCUCGUAAAUAAAUUCAGAACCUUGUCUACUAACCAUUUUGGCUGGAUUUCUGAGAUUUUUUCGGCCUUUUUCUCAUGUUUGUUCUUAUCAGUUCAGUUGUAUUCUGGUACAUUGGUAUUUGGAUUGAUACUAUGAUGAUUUUCCUCCUAAAUAAAUAUUCCAUUUCAUAAGUUUAAUAGAGAAGGAUGCAGGGACAUUUUGAUGUUUCA